GGCGAACGGGUGAGUAACACGUAAGUAACCUGCCUUUAAGACGAGGAUAACAACCGGAAGGUUACUAAGACUGGAUAGGAAACAAAAAGGCAUCUUUUUGUUUUUAAAAGACCUUCUUACGAAGGUAUGCUUAAAGAGGGGCUUGCGCCACAUUAGUUAGUUGGUAGAGUAAAAGCCUACCAAGACGAUGAUGUGUAGCUGGACUGAGAGGUUGAACAGCCACAUUGGGACUGAGACACGGCCCAAACUCCUACGGGAGGCAGCAGUAGGGAAUUUUCGGCAAUGGAGGAAACUCUGACCGAGCAACGCCGCGUGAACGAUGAAGUAUUUCGGUAUGUAAAGUUCUUUUAUUGAAGAAGAAAAAGUAGUGGAAAAACUAUAUUGACGUUAUUCAAUGAAUAAGCCCCGGCUAACUAUGUGCCAGCAGCCGCGGUAAGACAUAGGGGGCGAGCGUUAUCCGGAAUUAUUGGGCGUAAAGGGUGCGUAGGCUGUUAGAUAAGUCUAUAAUUUAAUUUCAGUGCUUAACGCUGUCUUGUUAUAGAAACUGUCUUGACUAGAGUGAGAUAGAGGCAAGCGGAAUUCAAUGGUGUAGCGGUGAGAUGAACAGAUAUCAGGAGGAACACCAGUGGCGAAGGCGCCGCUCUGGGCCGAGACUGACGGUGAGGAGCGAAAGCGUGGGUAGCAAACAGGAUUAGAUACCCUGGUAGUGCACGCCGUACACGUUGGGCAGUAGGUGUGGGUCUCAACCAACGAGAUCCGCGCCGUCGCUAACGCAUUAAGUGCCCCGCCUGGGGAGUACGGCCGCAAGGCUAAAACUCAAAGGAAUUGACGGGGGCCCGCACAAGCAGCGGAGCGUGUUGUUUAAUUCGAUGUUACGAGAAGAACCUUCCGUUGGUUUGACAUGUAGGGAAAAGCUAUGGAGACAGGGUGUCCUAUCGGGCCUUCCACAGGUGGUGCAUGGUUGUCGUCAGCUGUUGUGGUGAGAUGUUGGGUUAAGUCCCGCAACGAGCGCAACCCUUAUCAUGUGUUGCCAGCGGAUAACGCCGGGGACUCGCAGGAGACUGCCGGGGUCAACUCGGAGGAAGGUGGGGACGACGUCAAGUCAUCAUGCCCCUUAUGAUCUGGGCUACAAACGUGAUACAAUGGCUGUGACAAAGAGUAGCUGAAACGCGAGUUUUUAGCCAAUCUCAAAAAAGCAGUCUCAGUUCGGAUUGAAGUCUGUAACUCGACUUCAUGAAGUUGGAAUCGCUAGUAAUCGCGAAUCAGCAUGUCGCGGUGAAUACGUUCUCGGGGUUUGUACACACCGCCCGUCAAACCACGAAAGUUAGCAAUGCCCGAAAGCAGUAGCUUAACUUCGCAAGAAGAGGGAACUGUC
rnacentral:rRNA from 1 species